rnacentral:rRNA from 1 species
GCAUAUCAAUAAGCGGAGGAAAAGAAACCAACAGGGAUUGCCCUAGUAACGGCGAGUGAAGCGGCAACAGCUCAAAUUUGAAAUCUGGCUUCGGCCCGAGUUGUAAUUUGCAGAGGAAGCUUUAGGCGCGGCACCUUCUGAGUCCCCUGGAACGGGGCGCCAUAGAGGGUGAGAGCCCCGUAUAGUUGGAUGCCUAGCCUGUGUAAAGCUCCUUCGACGAGUCGAGUAGUUUGGGAAUGCUGCUCAAAAUGGGAGGUAAAUUUCUUCUAAAGCUAAAUACCGGCCAGAGACCGAUAGCGCACAAGUAGAGUGAUCGAAAGAUGAAAAGCACUUUGAAAAGAGGGUUAAAUAGCACGUGAAAUUGUUGAAAGGGAAGCGCUUGUGACCAGACUUGCGCCGGGCGGAUCAUCCGGUGUUCUCACCGGUGCACUCCGCCCGGCUCAGGCCAGCAUCGGUUCUCGCGGGGGGAUAAAGGUCCUGGGAACGUAGCUCCUCCGGGAGUGUUAUAGCCCGGGGCGUAAUGCCCUCGCGGGGACCGAGGUUCGCGCAUCUGCAAGGAUG